rnacentral:tRNA from 1 species
CAGGGAGACAACAAAAUGUUUAAUAUUAUUAUUUUGUCACCUUAGGUCGAUCGGUAUCUCACGUUCUUAAUUUUUUAAGAAUUUCAUUUCCUAAGUUUUUCUAGGUCACACCCAUUAUUUUUCCUGGGCCAUUAGCUCAGGUGGUUAGAGCGCACCCCUGAUAAGGGUGAGGUCCCUGGUUCAAGUCCAGGAUGGCCCAUAUCUCUAUGUUGGGGGUAUAGCUCAGUUGGUAGAGCGCCUGCUUUGCAAGCAGGAUGUCAGCGGUUCGAGUCCGCUUACCUCCACUGAUUACCACCUCUUCCAUAACCGGUAGAAAGGAAAUGUUUUGAGUUGUGAUCAUUAUUCUGAACGAAUCUAGCUUCCUAAUGAAAUCAUUAAGAUGCUGGACUCAUUGAAUUAAUUUCAUUGUUUUCAGAGAACCUUGACAACUGCAUAGAUUAUUUUUAAAGACAAUAAGCAUCUUUAAUGAUGCAGAUUUAUUAUUUGUGCGAAUGCAUCAAUAACAAUUCUAUUAAGCUGAUGCUUCAAUUUUUGAAGUUAUU